rnacentral:lncRNA from 10 species
CUCGCUCUGUCACCCAGGCUGGAGCGCAGUGGUGCGAUCUCAGCUCACUGCAACCUCUGCCACCUGGGUUCAAGCAAUUCUCCUGCCUCAGCCUCUUGAGUAGCUGAGACUACAGGCGCCCACGACGACACCCAGCUAAUUUUUGUAUUUUUAGUAGAGACAGAAUUUCAUCAUGUUGGCCAGGCUGGUCUCAAACUCCUGACCUCAGGUGAUCCACCCACCUCAGCCUCUCAAAGUGUUGGGAUUACAGGCGUGAGCUACAACGCCUGAUUCCCUUAUUUUUUUUCUUUAGAGAAAUAAGGUAUUGCUCUCUCGCCCAGGCUGUAGUACAGUGAUGCAAUCACAGCUCACUGCCACCUCAAAAUCUUGGGCUCAAGCCAUCUUCCUGCCUCAGCCUCCCGAGUAGCCGGGACUACAGACACAUACCAACAUGCCAAGCUAACUCAGUUCAUUUUUGGUAGAGACCGGGUCUGGCUAUAUUGCCCAGGCUGGUCUUGAACUCCUGGCCUCAAGCAAUCCUCCCACCUCAGCCUCUCAAAAUGCUGGGAUUACAGGCAGAAUGCACCAUGUCUGGCCUUGUUUUACUUUUUAAUGUAAAACUAAUAUAUAUUUAUCAUGAAAGAGGAGGGACUGGGCACGGUGGCUCAUGCCUGUAAUACCAGCACUUUGGGAGGCUGAGGCGGGCAGAUCACAAGGUCAGGAGUUCAAGGCCAGCCUGGACAAUAUGAUGAAACCCUGUCUCUACUAAAAAUACAAAAAGUAUCUGGGCAUGGUGGCGCGCACCUGUAGUCCCAGCUACUCCAGAGGCUGAGGUGGGCGAAUUGCUUGAACCCAGAAGGCAGAGGUUGCAGUGAGCCGAGAUCACGCCACUGCACUCUAGCCUGGGCGACAGAGCAAGACUCCAUCUCAAAAAAGAAAGGGGAGGGGAGGGGGAGAGAGAGAGAGAGAGGAAAGGGAGGGGAGGGGAGGGGAGGUAAAGCAAGCCCUAGAUGAGGAAUUAACUAGUUCUGGAUAUGGACUGUGUUGGUGGGACCAACUUAAAGACAGAAGAAAAAGAAUAGAAAAACCCGCUCCAUCUCCUUUAGUGUUCCCUGCCUCCCCAGAAAAAUAUACUUUCUUAAAGGUGCAAAUGAAAAUUGUGAACCCAAUGCUGGCUAUGAUCUUUUUGAGGUCCACUGAGCAACGCAAUAUUCUCCUUGGGUUAAAUUUGUGUUACAUUUAUCUGAAUCGAUUGAAAUUCAAGAAACUAUAGGCAAAAAAGUAUUUAAUACUCAGUGCAGAAAAAUUAAAACAGCAAAGUCAAAAGGCAAAAAUAAAAAUAAAAAUAAGCCGCAGUCUCCUCAGUGAGCAGCAGCACCGUAACAAGACAAUGCAUUCAGGCUUUCCUGAUGCUUCUAUAUAAACAGGUCGACAGUCUCUCAUCUGUAAUUCCCCCAGGCAAAAAUCCCUGGAACCACAAGGUUGUUUUGUUUUUGUGUUUGUUUUCCAAGUUUGUAGUGAAUUUAUUUGGCUGCACCACCUGAUCCAAACUGAUGUGGUGCUAUUUAUAUUCUUCAGUUAUCUCACUUAAUGUGAAUACUCGUAUGUUUCACUGCAGAAAUAUUAAUGAAUUUGGCUGUCGUGAGUUGCUACUUCAAGCACACUAAGGAUGUUCCAUAAUUAUACACCUUUGUAAAAUCUGAAAAAGUUUGAAUCACAAAAUACAUUGACCCCCAAGGGUCAGAACAGUGGACCUGAAUACUUAAAAGAAGCGAUGAUAGUGCUCACUGCGGCAGCCCAUAUACUAAAAUUGGGACAAUACAGAGAAGAUUGGCAUGGCCCCUGUGCAAGGAUGACAUGCAAAUUCACGAAGCAUUCCAUAUUAAAAAAAAAAUUGUUUUAGGCCGGGCACGGUGGCUCAUGCCUGUAAUCCCAGCACUUUGGGAGGCCGAGGCGGGCCGAUCACUUGAGGUCAGGAGUUUGAGACCCACCUGAUCAACAUGGUGAAACCCUGUCU